CCAAACGUUUGGCAAUCUUCAGUCGUCGCGGUAUGACUUGGUAUUGUGUGUUACUCGAUAUGGCCUAUCGCGAAAGCAAGUUCAAGAAAUGUUAAAGCUCGAAUGACGCACACUUGACUCAGUCAAGGACAAAAUUUAAAAAAAAGGCUUUUUUCAGUACUUCGAAGAGUAAAUGCGGUGAGCAAUUGUGAAGUAAAUGAAACACAAAUUCAAUUAAAAUGUUAGAGAAUUUAAGUUUAACAAAGCAAUCUUGAAAAACUGAUUCAUCAUUCUUAAGGGAUCUAAUGAGUUGAUCGCUUUAAAUUAGACUUGAGUACUACCUAUAUACCUACAAUUAUUUACAUAUUAACAAGUGGACGGACGGGCAGAUAGUCUCGACGAUUAGCUGAGUUUCUCACAACGUGACGUGAUCUCGUAAGGGUCGAGAAGUAAACAAAGUUUAUUGACCGUCUAUCUCAAUGCCAGCUCAAAAUGGGUCAUCUUCACCAAGUUUCAAUAAGAUAGCUUCAAAAAUAAAAGAUAACUUCAAAUUAUAACAUGCA